rnacentral:lncRNA from 1 species
GAAUGGCUCUCUGUCUUGAUCAGUAGUUUUCAAGUUAUAGAGCCCCUUCCCUACUGUGCACGCCCCUUACCAUGAUGCCUCUGAUUUCAACCUAAGCCUUGCUCCCUAGGGCCGCACAGCCCUCGGAUCAGCACCACCAAGCUGGACAGAGGUUGGAGUCGUAACAAUACGCAUACAUUACUUGUAGCUGUCAUUUCAACUCUCUAAGUGCAGGCAGUAACUCCUGCAGGCCUCGGCUGAAGUCCAGGGCACUCGGGUAUCUGGUCUCAAACUUGAGUGACUCUCUGCAGGAGACUCCGCAAGCUGCCCGGCUUAAUGGAGCUCAAGAUCCAAAGGUUCGUCAGAGCGCGAUGGAGUGAGUUUUAUACCCACAAUACUCCUGGAAAGUAGUGCUUUACUGCAGAAAAGCCACCCAGAGAAACAAUAAUUUUAGCAGGGUCAUGAAAAUAGGAACGUGGAAUACAUAAUAGCUUAGUUUAGAUCCCCAUCCCGGUCUGCCUCUUUUUUUUUUCCUUUUUUU